rnacentral:ncRNA from 1 species
UCUCAUCACGAGCGGCGGAGGGAACUGGCCCUGUGAAACCGCAGCAACCAUGGAAGGCCGGAGGGCCUUGCAACGGUGCUAAUUCCUUACGAGAAAUCGCAAGAUGAG